rnacentral:rRNA from 1 species
UACAUGUGGGGCAAGCGUUGUUCGGAAUUACUGGGCAUAAAGGGUGCGUAGGCGGCUUGUUAAGUCAGGGGUGAAAGUUUUCGGCCCAACUGGAAAAGUGCCUCCGAUACUGAUCGUCUCGAGGGAGGUAGGGGCAUGUGGAACUUCCGGUGGAGCGGUGAAAUGCGUAGAUAUCGGGAGGAACACCUGUGGCGAAAGCGGCGCACUGGACCAUAACUGACGCUGAUGCGCGAAAGCUAGGGGAGCAAACAGG